rnacentral:rRNA from 1 species
UUGGCCUACGGGGCGCAGCAGUGGGGAAUAUUGCACAAUGGGGGAAACCCUGAUGCAGCGACGCCGCGUGAAGGAAGAAGUAUUUCGGUAUGUAAACUUCUAUCAGCAGGGAAGAAAAUGACGGUACCUGACUAAGAAGCCCCGGCUAACUACGUGCCAGCAGCCGCGGUAAUACGUAGGGGGCAAGCGUUAUCCGGAUUUACUGGGUGUAAAGGGAGCGUAGACGGCGAUGCAAGUCUGAAGUGAAAGGCGGGGGCCCAACCCCCGGACUGCUUUGGAAACUGUAUAGCUGGAGUGCAGGAGAG